rnacentral:rRNA from 1 species
UACAGAGGUCUCAAGCGUUGUUCGGAUUCAUUGGGCGUAAAGGGUGCGUAGGCGGCGCGGUAAGUCGGGUGUGAAAUCUUGGAGCUUAACUCCGAAACUGCAUUCGAUACUGCCGUGCUUGAGGACUGGAGAGGAGACUGGAAUUUACGGUGUAGCGGUGAAAUGCGUAGAUAUCGUAAGGAAGACCAGUGGCGAAGGCGGGUCUCUGGGCCGAAACUGACGCUGAGGAGCGAAAGCGUGGGGAGCAAACAGG